CUCAAUUUGACUCAACACGGUGAACCUCACCCGGCCCGGACACCGCGAGGAUUGACAGACUGAGAGCUCUUUCUCGAUUCGGUGGGGUGGUGGUGCAUGGCCGUUCUUAGUUGGUGGAGCGAUCUGUCUGGUUAAUUCCGAUAACGAACGAGACCCCAACCUGCUAACUAGCCCUCGGGUCCUGCUUCUGUUGGGCUUCUGAUUCGCUUCUUAGAGGGGACUCGCGGCGCCUAGCCGCACGAAGGGGGGCGAUAA
rnacentral:rRNA from 1 species